rnacentral:lncRNA from 1 species
CCAGCCCCCAUAACCACUACCCGAGAAGGGAGUGGGAACAAGAGAGACCCCAGGGACAUCAGAGGAAUAUACAAAAAGGGGGCUAGAAGAGUCUACCGAAGAGGAGGUACCAGCAUUUGUAUUAGAAGCCAUAAUCAAUGAACCGGCUUAAAAAAAAUAGUUUCAACAAAUAGAGUAUAACCAAACCAGAUAUUCACACACAAAACCAGAUACUCACAUACGGAGUCAGAUAAUCACACACAAAGCAUACAAUACUCAAGAUAAGGACAUAGUUACCCUCCUUUUUCGCGACCGGAGAAGAUCGGCCUUCAAACAACAGGGAAAACCCUAGGUGUAACCGUCGAAAUCCUUACUGGAAGUGUGGUCAGGGAUGUCGGAAAGGCACCCAAAACAUCCACUGAGUGAAAAUCGAGCCACCGGAUAGUAGUAAAACUCUAGGUUAAACCACCAGAAACCCUAGAAGCCGAUAGGUCACCGGAAAAUUACCCAAAAAUCAUCGGAAAAUCUCCCAGAACGUUCGGGUGAAGAAAAUACAGUCAGAUACGAUGAAAAACUCAGAAAGGCAUCCGAUUAGAUCGGAAUCGUCAUCGACCACAAAGUCUCAGAAACACCCCCAAUCCGAUUUAGAUUGGAAUCGUCAUCGACCACCAAGUCUCAGAAACACCCCCAAAAAUCUCAAAGGAGACUUCAACCAAAACAACGAGAUGCAGAAAAACAUAGUCGGAUCGUCGUCUAGGCUCUGAUACCAUGAAAACUUUGAGAUUAAAUAGGAGAGUCACGGAAAAUGUAGUGAGAGAAUCUAGAGAGAAGGAGGAACGUCUGAGAGAAGUCUCUGGAAGACAAAGAAUAUUAUUAAUCAUAAAAGAGUGUGAAA